UGAGUGUACUUUAAGAGGAAGCGACGGCUAACUCUGUGCCAGCAGCCGCGGUAAUACAGAGGUCGCAAGCGUUGUUCGGAUUUACUGGGCGUAAAGGGCGCGUAGGCGGCAUUGCGUGUCAAGUGUGAAAUCUCCGGGCUCAACCCGGAAAGUGCGCUUGAAACUACAAUGCUCGAGUCUGGGAGAGGGAAUCGGAAUACAGGGUGUAGCGGUGAAAUGCGUUGAUAUCCUGUAGAACACCGGAGGCGAAGGCGGAUUCCUUGAACAGUACUGACGCUGAGGCGCGAAAGUCGGGGGAGCAAACAGGAUUAGAUACCCUG
rnacentral:rRNA from 1 species